GAAGUGUCCAGUCAGCAUGAAGCCUGUGGAUGAGCGCAACACAGGAGAGGAAAGAAAAAAACAACAUUCCUCUCUCCUAUUACCCACCUGUGCUUCCACAGCAGCGGGUUUUGCAGACAGCGUUUGCAUCAUCACCCCACUGAAAUUCCCCAGGUGAGUGUUGCUGCUAGCUUGGACAGUUCGCAGCCCAGCAGGGACAUCGACACUCCGGCUGGAUCAGCAAUCCUCCUGCAUCUUUGCUGCCCGGCAAUGACAGACGCAUGAGAUGUGAUGGGGGAGAUGUUCUAAGAAACGGAAUGACAGAUUUGGUAAGGAACAUGUCACAACAAGUUUUUUGCACUCUUGAAACAUCCUGCCUGCAUAAAAAUUAACACAGUAUUCCUCUUUGUAGACAGAAAAGGGACAUGUUAUACCUCUGUUUUUGCUUUGGUACAGUAGAACCAAAAGUGGUUACGCAAUCUUACUUUUUGCAUCCUAUGAAAAAAAAUAUCAUGAAAUGUGAACAGUUGUCUGAUUUUGUUGUCUGUUGCCUCACAUGUUUUCGAAGCCCUUGUCACUAAUUCAGUGGAAGCACUCAGCUCCAGCAUGGAGAUUGGGAGCAGAUUUAGGUGCAGCAUUUGGAUGACCAUAUGGAACUCUUUGUGGCGCCAAGAGACCAUGCAGCUUGGAAACCUGAUCACCAUCUCCCCGGUGACAGCUGGAGCCUUUACACCAUCAGAGCAUUUGUAGCCUUCUAAUUUGUCAUAACCACCUCCUGUGGCAAGGAAAUAUGCUGCAAAAAUUAGGUAGGCAAAGUUUGAAAUUUAUAGGAUCGGGGAAAAAA